UACGAAGGGGGCUAGCGUUGUUCGGAUUUACUGGGCGUAAAGCGCACGUAGGCGGAUCGAUCAGUCAGGGGUGAAAUCCCAGAGCUCAACUCUGGAACUGCCUUUGAUACUGAGAAGCUUGAGUCCGGGAGAGGUGAGUGGAACUGCGAGUGUAGAGGUGAAAUUCGUAGAUAUUCGCAAGAACACCAGUGGCGAAGGCGGCUCACUGGCCCGGUACUGACGCUGAGGUGCGAAAGCGUGGGGAGCAAACAGG
rnacentral:rRNA from 1 species